GCAAAGUUGGUUUAGUGGUAUAAUUACCGCCUGCCAGCACUUGUUGACAGCGCGCGGUAGACCCGGGUUCGAUUCCCGGACUUUGCA